rnacentral:misc_RNA from 1 species
GAUGAAGAACGCAGCGAAAUGCGAUAAGUAAUGUGAAUUGCAGAAUUCAGUGAAUCAUCGAAUCUUUGAACGCACAUUGCGCCCCCUGGUAUUCCGGGGGGCAUGCCUGUUCGAGCGUCAUUUCACCACUCAAGCCUCGCUUGGUAUUGGGCAACGCGGUCCGCCGCGUGCCUCAAAUCGACCGGCUGGGUCUUCUGUCCCCUAAGCGUUGUGGAAACUUUCUCUAAAGGGUGUUCGGGAGGCUACGCCGUAAAACAACCCCAUUUCUAAGGUUGACCUCGGAUCAGGUAGGGAUACCCGCUGAACUUAAGCAUAUCAAUAAGCGGAGGA